AGGAAUGAUCCCAGGCCCAGCAUAAAGUUGAUUUAGUAACCUAAAGUGUGGAAAUCUCUGAGGUGAGAGGUUUCAUAUCCAGAAUCAAACUCAGGGAAUCACUCUCAGGUAGGAAGAAUGGAAAGACAAAGGGGGAUCGCAGCUAUGAAAUACAUCCUAAAUCACAAGAAGCUUCUUUUACAAAGUACAAAAGCCACACCUUGUCCAUUGAUCAUGAGCAGAAUUCUGGUGCAUUGAAAGUGCUUCCCAGUGUGGAAACCAAGGUCCAUCCCAGAUCCUCUGCUGACUUGAGAGGUCACCAGCAUGCCAUUUGAGUGACUUGAGGGGUAGGUUUUAACACAUAAAAUGGAGGGAAUGAUUAGGAGGAAUAAUUAGGAAGAUACUAAUUAUUUCCAAUUUACAGAGGAGGAGACUGAGGCUUUGUGUUCCUUGUCCUACACUCUAAUGUGUCCAUUGUCACCUGCUGGUAAACGGCAGCACUAUUCAAUGCCACGAUUGUUCCACCCCCAUAGAAAUGCAGGAAGCCUCGUAUCUUUACCAUCCUAAUGUCAAAGAGCAUUAUUACCAUUGCUACUUAUUAAUAUUAUAUCUAUAAAAAUCUGGGGAAAAGGUAAUCAAAGAUGCACAUGGUUAAAGAUCUUUAAUGAUGGGCCAGUCAGCCUGCCUAGACGGAGGCCUUUCUUUAGACAACCCACUCAGGUGGACCUGACAUGUCUCUAGUUGGGCUGACUUCCUGAGGGGCAGCACAGACUUUUGAUUAAGAACAGAGGGUUUAAGGGGAAGCUCUAAAAGCUAUGGAAUUUCUAGAUGGCUGGAAUGGGAUCGCACAUUCUGGGUUACGUUGUGGAAAUCACUGAACUGCUCAGCUCAAAGCGAACUCUGUGGAGUAAGUGCUUGAUGAAAAGACACCAAAUACGCUGAGCGCAACGUGCGCUCUUCUGAUUUCUGCUGCCGCCCUGUGAAUUGGGGUCCACUCUCCUCAUUUUAGCAAUAGGGAAGAGAUUCCCGGAGUGGAUGAAUCUCUUCUUUCACACAGCUCACAACGUAUUAAUCACACUAAUAAUGAGCAUUGGCUAAGCUUUUGGUACAUGUGGCGACUCUUCUAAUUGGUGCAUUAAUUCAUGUGAUUAUUUAAAUGACCCUGUGAUGCAAGUGUUAGUAGGUUUGUCAUUCCACAAAUGAAGAAACCGAGGGGCAGAGAGGGAAGUGUCCAAUUGGAAGAAGUAGAACUUGGCCUGAUUCCUGGGGCUGUCUUCCUUCCCUCAUGUAACGGCUUACUGUGGAGUUCUGGGCUGCUCUGCGAGGGGGUAGUAAGAGGAGUGAUGGGAGAAUAAUUUGGACAAGGUCAGUAACUCCCAUACCAUCUAGAAAUUGAGAGUUUAAAAGGCAAGGUCUGCAACUUUCCUUGAUUUCUGCAGAAAUAGAGAUGAUCCCUCCUGCGACAGUGCUAAGUGAUGACUCUGAGGGUAAAUGUGCUUUUUGGCACAAAUUGUCCAGUCCUAAUAGUCUUGAUUAUAAUUAUAAAAUAAUGGGUUUCUGAAAGGCUGCAAGCCGUUCUGGGAAUGACAAUAAGGGUUUAGAAACAACAUGGUGUUUAUGGAAGAAGCGUUUUGUAGAAAAUUAAAACCACGUUUAGGGGAAAGUAUCGUGUUGUUUGCUCCUAAGAAAUGAUCUCACUAUGCAAUUAAAUCAAAACCUGUCAGUUGCCAAUCUGAGGUCUUGUCUCACACACAACACCCCACUCCCAUGAGCAAAGCAGACAGGAAUGACCUAAAGUAACCAAGCCCCACUCCUACCCACGGACUCCCCAGCUCUUGUCCCUCUCUCUCCAAGGCCAGAGUGUGGCAUUGUAUUGCAUAACCCUCUUUUUCCUGCAACUCUGUCUUCUUUGAAAGACUCUUCCUUGGAAGUCUUCCCACCUCCACAGAAAAAAGAAUGAGUACUUCCUGUGUCGGGGAUUUCCUGGGAGGUGCCAUAGAGCAAUCAUUAAAAAUAAAUAAAUAAACAAAUAAAUAAAAACAAAACUUUA
rnacentral:lncRNA from 1 species